rnacentral:lncRNA from 1 species
GUUAUUUUACAUGUUAAUCAUAGAUACUGUGAUUGCUUUGCCAAUGGUGAUUUUUGCAACAACUGCAACUGCAAUAACUGUUAUAACAAUCAACUUCAUGAAAGUGAGCGAUUUCAAGCCAUUAAGGCCUGUCUUGAUAGAAACCCUGAAGCUUUCUUACCAAAGAUUGGGAAAGGGAAACCAGGAGAAAUUAAACCUCACCAUAACAAAGGAUGUAAUUGCAAGCGUUCAGGAUGCCUCAAGAAUUAUUGUCAGUGCUUUGAGGCAACCAGCUGUACGGAUAUCUUUGGAAGAAGUGAAAGCGACGUGUGCUUGUCUCCUGGUGCAAGCUGAAGAGGCAGAAAAAAGAGGUUACUCUCUCCGUCUAGCUGAGCAGAUGAUCAUGGAGGAAUUUGGGAGAUGUUUAUCCCAGAUCCUACAUGCAUAGUUAAAAUUUAAAGAACUGAAAGUUGAAUAAUGUUCAAUGUAUUAUAAAGCAAAUAAGUAUUAAUAUUGAUAUAUGUUGCCAUAAUCUCCACAAUUUUGCUACUUUAUGAUCUUACUUUGAUUUUUCAUAGGAAUAGUUUCAUUAACUUCAGCUGAAUUAUUUCUGAGUUAUACUGGUGUAAGUGAAACCAGCGCCACAUCUGGCAUUUUUCCAAGUAACUUAGUACUGUAGAAAGCUUAUUAUAUUUUUUUCUAAAACAGAUUUUUCUCUGUAGUCAGUGCUUUCUGAGCUAAUUCUUCAGUAUUUACUUAGACUCUUAUUAAAAGUAAGUUUAACUUAAAAUGACUUUAUUGGAUGCUUAUGUAAGAAGAGAUGCAGUAAAAAUUGAGUAAGAAUUUCCUAUCUUAGUUUGGUUAUGUUAUGAAUUGUGAAACAAUUUCAUUUCCAGUGGUAGUAGACAUAUAUACCUAGGCAAAGUUUAGCUUUGGGUCAUCUCUGUUUUGAAAUCCAGUUUCUCUUAAAGCUUGGAUUAUCUUUUGUUUAAUUAUUCUUUUUUCUUAUGUGGAAGUUUUCUCUGUGACAUUUCUUCCUCUUCUCAUUCUCACCGUUGGGGUGAUAAUAAAUUUUCUCUAAUAGAAGUAAGCUAUUUGCUG